AACAAGGAUUCCCCUAGUAACUGCGAGUGAAGCGGGAAGAGCUCAAAUUUUGAAUCUGGCGGUCCUCGUGGUCGUCCGAGUUGUAAUCUAGAGAAGCGUUUUCCGCGCUGGACCGUGUACAAGUCUCCUGGAACGGAGCGUCAUAGAGGGUGAGAAUCCCGUCUCUGACACGGACUACCAGGGCUUUUGUGAUGCGCUCUCGACGAGUCGAGUUGUUUGGGAAUGCAGCUCAAAUUGGGUGGUAAAUUCCAUCUAAAGCUAAAUACAGGCGAGAGACCGAUAGCGAACAAGUACCGUGAGGGAAAGAUGAAAAGAACUUUGGAAAGAGAGUUAAACAGUACGUGAAAUUGCUGAAAGGGAAACGCUUGAAGUCAGUCGCGUUGGCCGGGGAUCAGCCUUGCAAUCUUGUUGGGUGCAUUUCCUGGUUGACGGGUCAGCAUCGAUUUUGACCGUCGGAGAAGGGUCGAGGGAAUGUGGCAUCCUUCGGGGUGUGUUAUAGCCUUUGAUCGUAUGCGACGGUUGGGAUCGAGGAACUCAGCAUGACCCCUCGUGGGUUUGGGGCUUCGGCUCACAUUCAUGCUUAGGAUGCUGGCAUAAUGGCUUUAAGCGACCCGUCUUGAAACACGGACCAAGGAGUCUAACAUGCCCGCGAGUGUUUGGGUGUUUAAAACCCGAGCGCGUAAUGAAAGUGAAAGUUGAGACCUCUGUCGUGGAGGGCAUCGACGCCCGGACCAGAACUUUUGUGACGGCCCUGCGGUAGAGCGUGUAUGUUGGGACCCGAAAGAUGGUGAACUAUGCCUGAAUAGGGUGAAGCCAGAGGAAACUCUGGUGGAGGCUCGUAGCGAUUCUGACGUGCAAAUCGAUCGUCGAAUUUGGG
rnacentral:rRNA from 1 species